rnacentral:rRNA from 1 species
GGAAUAUUGGGCGUAAAGAGCUCGUAGGCGGUUUGUCGCGUCUGCCGUGAAAGUCCGGGGCUCAACUCCGGAUCUGCGGUGGGUACGGGCAGACUAGAGUGAUGUAGGGGAGACUGGAAUUCCUGGUGUAGCGGUGAAAUGCGCAGAUAUCAGGAGGAACACCGAUGGCGAAGGCAGGUCUCUGGGCAUUAACUGACGCUGAGGAGCGAAAGCAUGGGGAGCGAACAGGAUUAGAUACCCCAG